UACAUGGGGUGCAAACGUUGCUCGGAAUUAUUGGGCGUAAAGCGCGCGUAGGCGGUUACUCAAGUCGGAUGUGAAAGCCCUCGGCUUAACUGAGGAAGUGCACCCGAAACUGAGUAGCUAGAGUACCAAAGAGGGUCGCGGAAUUCCCGGUGUAGAGGUGAAAUUCGUAGAUAUUGGGAAGAACACCGGUGGCGAAGGCGGCGAGCUGGUCCAUUACUGACGCUGAGGCGCGAAAGCGUGGGGAGCAAACAGG
rnacentral:rRNA from 1 species